rnacentral:rRNA from 1 species
AUUGAACGCUGGCGGCGUGCUUAACACAUGCAAGUCGAGCGGUAACGCGGGGGCAACCCUGGCGACGAGCGGCGAACGGGUGCGUAAUACAUGGGAAUCUGCCCAGUUGUGGGGAAUAACCCGGGGAAACCCGGGCUAAUGCCGCAUACGACCUACGGGUGAAAGCGGGGGAUCUUCGGACCUCGCGCAGUUGGAUGAGCCCAUGUCGGAUUAGCUAGUUGGUAGGGUAAAGGCCUACCAAGGCAACGAUCCGUAGCUGGUCUGAGAGGACGGCCAGCCACACUGGGACUGAGACACGGCCCAGACUCCUACGGGAGGCAGCAGUGGGGAAUAUUGGACAAUGGGCGAAAGCCUGAUCCAGCGACGCCGCGUGUGUGAAGAAGGCCUGCGGGUUGUAAAGCACUUUCGGUAGGAACGAAAUACGCCGACCCAAUACGUCGGCGGGCU